rnacentral:rRNA from 1 species
GUGGAUUAGAUACCCUGGUAGUCCACGCCCUAAACGAUGUCAACUAGUUGUUGGGGAUUCAUUUCCUUAGUAACGUAGCUAACGCGUGAAGUUGACCGCCUGGGGAGUACGGUCGCAAGAUUAAAACUCAAAGGAAUUGACGGGGACCCGCACAAGCGGUGGAUGAUGUGGAUUAAUUCGAUGCAACGCGAAAAACCUUACCUACCCUUGACAUGGUCGGAACCCUGGAGAGAUCUAGGGGUGCUCGAAAGAGAGCCGAUACACAGGUGCUGCAUGGCCGUCGUCAACU